rnacentral:rRNA from 1 species
AGAGUUUGAUCCUGGCUCAGGAUGAACGCUGGCGGCGUGCUUAACACAUGCAAGUCGAACGAUGAAGCAGAGCUUGCUCUGUGGAUUAGUGGCGAACGGGUGAGUAACACGUGAGUAACCUGCCCUUGACUCUGGAAUAAGCGUUGGAAACGACGUCUAAUACUGGAUACGAGCUUCAGCCGCAUGGCUAGGAGCUGGAAAGAAUUUCGGUCAAGGAUGGACUCGCGGCCUAUCAGGUAGUUGGUGAGGUAAUAGCUCACCAAGCCUACGACGGGUAGCCGGCCUGAGAGGGUGACCGGCCACACUGGAACUGAGACACGGUCCAGACUCCUACGGGAGGCAGCAGUGGGGAAUAUUGCACAAUGGGCGAAAGCCUGAUGCAGCAACGCCGCGUGAGGGACGACGGCCUUCGGGUUGUAAACCUCUUUUAGUAGGGAAGAAGUGAAAGUGACGGUACCUGCAGAAAAAGCACCGGCUAACUACGUGCCAGCAGCCGCGGUAAUACGUAGGGUGCAAGCGUUAUCCGGAAUUAUUGGGCGUAAAGAGCUCGUAGGCGGUUUGUCGCGUCUGCUGUGAAAACUGGAGGCCCAACCUCCAGCCUGCAGUGGGUACGGGCAGACUAGAGUGCGGUAGGGGAGAUUGGAAUUCCUGGUGUAGCGGUGGAAUGCGCAGAUAUCAGGAGGAACACCAAUGGCGAAGGCAGAUCUCUGGGCCGUAACUGACGCUGAGGAGCGAAAGCAUGGGGAGCGAACAGGAUUAGAUACCCUGGUAGUCCAUGCCGUAAACGUUGGGAACUAGAUGUAGGGACCAUUCCACGGUUUCUGUGUCGCAGCUAACGCAUUAAGUUCCCCGCCUGGA